rnacentral:rRNA from 1 species
UGGUGGAGUGAUUUGUCUGGUUAAUUCCGUUAACGAACGAGACCUCAGCUUGUUGGUUGUUCCGAGCUUUUCUUUUGAAAAAGUUUUGGAGGAUUGAGAAGGACUGUCGGUGUUUAGCCGAUGGAAGUUUGAGGCAAUAACA